rnacentral:rRNA from 1 species
GUCGAGCGAGCGGAACCACAGAUUUACUUCGGUAAUGACGUUGGGAAAGCGAGCGGCGGAUGGGUGAGUAACACGUGGGGAACCUGCCCCUAAGUCUGGGAUACCAUUUGGAAACAGGUGCUAAUACCGGAUAAUAAAGCAGAUCGCAUGAUCAGCUUUUGAAAGGCGGCGUAAGCUGUCGCUAAGGGAUGGCCCCGCGGUGCAUUAGCUAGUUGGUAAGGUAACGGCUUACCAAGGCGACGAUGCAUAGCCGAGUUGAGAGACUGAUCGGCCACAUUGGGACUGAGACACGGCCCAAACUCCUACGGGAGGCAGCAGUAGGGAAUCUUCCACAAUGGACGCAAGUCUGAUGGAGCAACGCCGCGUGAGUGAAGAAGGUUUUCGGAUCGUAAAGCUCUGUUGUUGGUGAAGAAGGAUAGAGGUAGUAACUGGCCUUUAUUUGACGGUAAUCAACCAGAAAGUCACGGCUGACUACGUGCCAGCAGCCGCGGUAAUACGUAGGUGGCAAGCGUUGUCCGGAUUUAUUGGGCGUAAAGCGAGCGCAGGCGGAAAAAUAAGUCUAAUGUGAAAGCCCUCGGCUUAACCGAGGAACUGCAUCGGAAACUGUUUUUCUUGAGUGCAGAAGAGGAGAGUGGAACUCCAUGUGUAGCGGUGGAAUGCGUAGAUAUAUGGAAGAACACCAGUGGCGAAGGCGGCUCUCUGGUCUGCAACUGACGCUGAGGCUCGAAAGCAUGGGUAGCGAACAGGAUUAGAUACCCUGGUAGUCCAUGCCGUAAACGAUGAGUGCUAA